GCCUCCGUAGCUCAGCAGGACAGAGCGCGACGUUCCGAACGUCGAGGUCGCCGGUUCGAGUCCGGCCGGGGGCA
rnacentral:tRNA from 1 species